UUUCAAACUCAGUCUCCCCUCCCCAAGUAUCUCUGACCACUGAGUGGUCUUCCCACGCCUCCCUCCCUUCCGUCCCCCCAAGGAGGACCCAGGUCCCCCCACCCCUGCCCAAUUGUAUGAUAGUCCUAAUAAACUCGGGACACACCUGGAAGGAAACACUUUCCCUUAUGACUGAGAAAACUUAGUAAGAAACAGUCCUUUGGUUGAGGAGAGCGGGAGAGGGAGGAGGGAAAGGGGACACCUUCUCAAAAUAAUAAUAAAAUUAUAAAGAAACAAAAAAUUAAAACUGAUGUAAAAGCAGCACAACGAAAACAUGAAAUGUCAUCAAGUUCAACGUCAAAGCAGCCAAUGAUUUACAAGAGGCGAACAAAUCUCUGAAGAGAAAACCAGAACCCAAAAGAGUUGCUCUCAAAUUGCACCAAAAACUGCCUGUAGUUUCUUUCAAACAUGCAGUUUUCUUUUCUUUUUUGGAAGGGGGAAGGCAAUGGUGAAGGGAAGAAGGGAGUGGUUAUUUUCCUCCGGGGUUCCUCCCUUGCUGUGGACAUUGACUUGAAGCAGCAGAACUGGGAGUCCGGAUGUGCCGAGGAAGAGGGCUACCACUGUGGCAUUCCAGGCCUCGUUGCCAUGGCGACCCGAAGCAGGGGCCUGGGGCCUCCUCUCCCCUGACUUGGCGCCGCAGGAGGCCCGGGGUCUGGAGCUCAGCUGCUCUCACGCAUCCCACCCCUGAGCAGAGCAGCGGAGACCUGGGCUGAGGGGCAUGCUGUGUCCAGGAAGUUGUCUGAAAAAAAGAGAAUGGGAUGGGUACAUUCCUGAACACACCAGGCCCAGGGACAAUGGAGUAACAGAAUCGUAAUGAGAAACAUACAGUUACAACACAGUCAUAAGAAGUCAUGUUCGUGUGUGUACGGAGGGGGAAGGAGACUUAAAACAAGAAAACACUGUAUUUCCUCCCUCAGUCCCUGUGAGCAAAGGGCUACAAGCAGGAGAGGAUGGGGCCUGAGGCUUCUCAACUCCUUUUCAGGAAGGCCCGAAAUAAUCCCAGUACUUUUCAGCAAACUGUGUCUGUGAAUAAACCACCUCAUUUCCUUAUUUC